rnacentral:rRNA from 1 species
UACGUAGGGGCCUAGCGUUGUCCGGAUUUAUUGGGCGUAAAGAGCUCGUAGGCGGUUCGGUAAGUCAGGUGUGAAAACUCCACGCUCAACGUGGAGGCGCCACCUGAAACUGCCGUGACUCGAGUCCGGUAGGGGAGUGUGGAAUUCCCGGUGUAGCGGUGAAAUGCGCAGAUAUUGGGAGGAACACCUGCGGCGAAGGCGGCUACCUGGACAGAAACUGACGCUGAGGCGCGAAAGCUAGGGGAGCGAACGGG